CCCUUAGAUGUUCUGGGCCGCACGCGUGCUACACUGAGUGGAUCAGCGGGUCAGGUUGCGCGAAAGUGUUUCCUAAUCUUUAAAUCCGCUCGUGAUGGGGAUUGACGGUUGCAAUUUUCCGUCAUGAACGAGGAAUACCUUGUAAGCGCGGGUCAUCAUCCCGCGCUGAAUACGUCCCUGCCCUUUGUACACACCGCACGUCGCUCCUACCGAUUGAGUGGUCCGGUGAGGCUUUGGGAUCUGAGCGGAAAGAGCGUUUCGCUGUUUCUGCCCGGAAAACUCAGUCGAACCUUAUCAUUUAGAGGAAGGAGAAGUCGUAACA
rnacentral:rRNA from 1 species